AGCAGGAUGAGAUGUCAUGUAAGCACGCAGAGAGUUGUUGGCCGCUCUCUAUAAUAUCUGACCUUCAAGAAUUUAUCUGGCGAAAAGAACUACGCUCUCGCUGCCUAAUCGAAGUACAGUAGAUUACCGGCUUUAUCUCGGCACCAGGUGCUGAGACGGGAUGUCACUCUGAGGCUCACCGCCCCGAAGCUCUCAGGCAUAGUGGCACAGCAAAUCGGGGAUAGCCGUGGGGGACGCAUCUAUCCCGAGGCGAAAUCCUUCAGAUGCUAAGGUUGCGAUUGGUGGUCCGGGUCUUGUCGCUUCCCUACAACCGAAGUCCGGAAUAAGCGUGUAGAAAGCAUGGGAUGUCCCUGUUUGGACGAGGGUUCAAUCCCCUCCAGCUCC
rnacentral:tmRNA from 1 species